rnacentral:lncRNA from 1 species
UUUAGCCAUUAGAUUAAGAGAUGUGCGGUUAGGAUGAUAUGGGCCCACUAGGGUUGAGUGGGUGGUUGGUUGAAUAAUAUGAUCUAACGGGUGAAAAUGAUUAAAAGGAUAGAUCUAACGGUGGAAAACUCGAUAAUACCAAGUGUUUCGUGCUAUUAAUAGUAUAAUAACCGAACUCUAUAUAUAUAUAUAUAUAUAUAUAUAUAUGAAUCUGUGUUUCGGGUGCUCGGA